rnacentral:rRNA from 1 species
CUAACACAUGCAAGUCGAGCGGAGAUGAGGUGCUUGCACCUUAUCUUAGCGGCGGACGGGUGAGUAAUGCUUAGGAAUCUGCCUAUUAGUGGGGGACAACAUUCCGAAAGGAAUGCUAAUACCGCAUACGUCCUACGGGAGAAAGCAGGGGAUCUUCGGACCUUGCGCUAAAUGAUGAGCCUAAGUCGGAUUAGCUAGUUGGUGGGGUAAAGGCCUACCAAGGCGACGAUCUGUAGCGGGUCUGAGAGGAUGAUCCGCCACACUGGGACUGAGACACGGCCCAGACUCCUACGGGAGGCAGCAGUGGGGAAUAUUGGACAAUGGGGGGAACCCUGAUCCAGCCAUGCCGCGUGUGUGAAGAAGGUCUUUUGGUUGUAA